rnacentral:misc_RNA from 1 species
GAUGAAGAACGUAGCGAAAUGCGAUAAGUAAUGUGAAUUGCAGAAUUCCGUGAAUCAUCGAGUCUUUGAACGCACAUUGCGCCCCCUGGUAUUCCGGGGGGCAUGCCUGUCCGAGCGUCAUUGCUGCCCUCAAGCACGGCUUGUGUGUUGGGCCCCGUCCUCCGAUCCCGGGGGACGGGCCCGAAAGGCAGCGGCGGCACCGCGUCCGGUCCUCGAGCGUAUGGGGCUUUGUCACCCGCUCUGUAGGCCCGGCCGGCGCUUGCCGAUCAACCCAAAUUUUUAUCCAGGUUGACCUCGGAUCAGGUAGGGAUACCCGCUGAACUUAAGCAUAUCAAUAACGGAGGA